CACAGAUAUGCAGUCCAUAGUGCUGCUCCUUAUCAACUUGUAGUUAGUAAGGACAAAGUAUAUCAACGUUACCAGACCACAUCUCUGGAUUAUUCACAGAGUCUGCUAUUUCUGUUUGUACUACCAGACCUGAGAAUAUUUAUGCUCCCAUUCCUGCUGACUUCUGCUUUGGGUCAAUUGUGUGAGUAUACCAGCACCAAGCUUCUCAGUGUUUACUCACCCUCUGUUGCCUCAUCUGACUGAGCGUCCCUAAUUGUACAGCGAAGGUACAGGCUUGGAAGGCAUGAAAAUGUUGGCAUAUAGAGAAGUGUCAAAUACCUAGGGGUGAUAAGAGUGCUGCGUUUAGAAGACAAAUGAUAGGAGAUAAAUUGGUCCUGGAGGUUGGGGCUUCUUACAGAAUUGGGGGCCUCUGAAUCUAAAACUUGUGCUCUUAACUGUUCUCCAUUAUUUCCCCCAGCUGGCCUAUUAAACAUCAUCUAUAAAAAAAUCUAUAAUCUAGUUUAGAAACUAGCUUACUCAAAGACACAGAAGUUUGCUC
rnacentral:lncRNA from 1 species